CCUAGAUCAAAAUUUAGUCAAUAUAGCUGGAAUUGCCCAUUUAAUACCAUGCAUGAGAUUCGAAGUAAAUGAAAGCUAGAAAACAGUACUGCUGAAAAACUUACCAAUAUUCGUUUGGCUUCUUAAACUCACUCCAGAGCAAACGCCAAGAACGGCCACAACAACUAAAUACACGAUCCUGAAAUGAUUCUCCAUUGCUUUUUUAAAUUCUUUACAGUUUUUAUUUCCAAGACUUCGGCUCUGCUUCGAUUUGGG